rnacentral:misc_RNA from 1 species
GAUGAAGAACGCAGCGAAAUGCGAUACUUGGUGUGAAUUGCAGGAUCCCGUGAACCACCGAGUCUUUGAACGCAAGUUGCGCCCGAAGCCAUUAGGCCGAGGGCACGCCUGCCUGGGUGUCACACGUCGUUGCCCCCCCAUCUACUCCUUCGGGAUUGCGGGGGGCGGAUGAUGGCCUCCCGUGCGCCUCGUCGCGCGGUUGGCAUAAAUGCCAAGUCCUCGGCGACGCACGCCACGACAAUCGGUGGUUGCGAAACCUCGGUUGCCCGUCGUGUGCGGUCGUCGCGCAUCGAGGGCUCGAAAAAAUUGCCGGGCUCCGGCUCGGCUUUCAACGCGACCCCAGGUCAGGCGGGGUUACCCGCUGAAUUUAAGCAUAUCAAUAAGCGGAGGA